GAUGAACGCUGGCGGCGUGCUUAACACAUGCAAGUCGAACGGAAAGGCUCCUGCUUGCAGGGGUACUCGAGUGGCGAACGGGUGAGUAACACGUGGGUGAUCUGCCCUGCACUUCGGGAUAAGCCUGGGAAACUGGGUCUAAUACCGAUAGGACGAUGGUUUGGAUGCCAUUGUGGAAAGUUUUUUCGGUGUGGGAUGAGCUCGCGGCCUAUCAGCUUGUUGGUGGGGUAAUGGCCUACCAAGGCGUCGACGGGUAGCCGGCCUGAGAGGGUGUACGGCCACAUUGGGACUGAGAUACGGCCCAGACUCCUACGGGAGGCAGCAGUGGGGAAUAUUGCACAAUGGGCGCAAGCCUGAUGCAGCGACGCCGCGUGGGGGAUGACGGCCUUCGGGUUGUAAACUCCUUUCGCUAGGGACGAAGCGCAAGUGACGGUACCUGGAGAAGAAGCACCGGCUAACUACGUG
rnacentral:rRNA from 1 species